UCCGCUCCGACCAGGCCAUGGAAGAAAAACCUGUGCGAUGCCUCCCCACGUCUCGGGCCUCUGACCUGCCUUUGCCAUCAGAGUUUGCAGAACUUUGGGGGACCUGAGAAGGGGUGUCCCCUGGACAGGACACGGGUGUCUGUGGCUUACAGGGUUUUGGAAGGACAGGGAGAGGGAAACGGGAUCCCAGGGGCCUGCUUCAGGGCCACCCAGCCGCCCUCGCCCCACACAACUCUCUCUGAUCCCGCUUGUCCGUCCAGCCUGGGGGGGAAACGCGCACGUGCUGUGAUCUCAAGAGGGCUUGGCGUUUUAUUUGGAAGAUAGGCAUCUACUUGCAGCUGGCCUGAGCCCCUUAUUUUCUUCCCACCUUUCUUGGGAAACUUAUUUUUAAGGGAGGUGUGCCACGGUUUUUGUAACACGGUGCUCUUAGCUCAGCAUUCGCGGUGCUGUUGUAACCGUCCAGUGGGUUCACCUUGCCUGCUGCCUGGAUAGAGACGAUUAUCAAGACGAGGGAAUUGCAAUGGAGAAAGAGAUUCAUGCAGAGGCGGCUGUGCAGAAGACGGGAGUUUUGUUACUACUCAAAUCUGUCUCCUCAUAUCCGUCUCUGGGAGCAUUCAGGGAUCAGACUUUUUAAAGAUGAGUUAGCAGAAGGGACAUGGGAAGUGGGCAGUGCUGAUUAGUCAGGUUGGAGAUAGAAUCACAGGAGGUCAAAAUGAGUUUUUUUUUUUUUUUUUGCUUUCUUCUGUUCUUGGGUGGGAUGGCAGAAUUGGUUGGGCCAGAUUACAGGUCUGGGUAGUGUCAGGUGAUCCAUGGAGUGCAGGGUCUGCAAAAUAUCUCAAGCACUGACCUUAGGUUUUACAAUACUGAUGCUAUCCCCAGGAACAAUCUGGGGAGAUUCAGACUGUUGGAGCCAGAGACUGCAUGACCCCUAAACUGUAAUUUCUAAUCUUGUAGCUAAUUUGUUAGUCCUGCAAAGGCAUACACUUUCUUUCCUUUUUUUCUUUUCUUUUCUCUUUCUUUCUCUUUCUUUCUUUCCUUCCCUCCUUCUUUCCUUUCCUUUCCUUUUUCCUUUCCUUUCCUUUCCUUUGUCCUUUCCUUUCCUUCUUUCUUCUUUCCUUUCUUUCUCUUUCUUUUUCUUUUUCCGUCCUGGAAGCAGUGCACCACUAAACCUUCUAAAUUACAGUGUUGAUUACUAAUACACCAUUGCACAGUUACUUUCAUGGGUCCCCAGUGGCUGUAUCCAUGGCCAUUUACUGUCACUAACCUACCUUUGUAAUAUCAUUGUUACCAAUUUUUACACUUUUCUUCUGAUGCAUUUAAUGUGUGCUAUUUUAUUUUUUUUAAUACAGGUAUUGUUUUCUGUAUUUUUAAUACAGGUAUUAUUCAGUAAAUACUUUUAUUUAGCAUAGUGAACAGUUAUAUAUCACGAGUGUAUACUUAAUUCUCACAAAGUGAGCACCAUCCAUACAACCACUACUCUUCUUAUGAAAUAGAAUUUUACCAGCAGUGUCAAACCCUUUUGGACCUUGCCAGUCACCUUUUUCCUUCCUGUUUCACAAAAUAAUCUUCACAGAUACUUUUAUCUGUUUUAAACUUUAUAUAAGUGUAACAGUUCAAGGUGUAUGCAGUAGUGUCUGAGUUCUUGUGCUAAAUACUAUGUUUUUGAGUUCAUCCAUGGCGUUACCUAUAGUAGGAAUUUCUUCCUGUUUAUUGUUGUAUAUUAUUUCAUAGUAUUAAUAUGCAAUAUGUCUCCAUUCUACUUGUAAUGGGAAUUUGAGUUUCCAGGUUUGCUACAAGUAAUGCUAUUAUGACCACUUUGUGCAUGUUCUUUUGUGUAUAUAUGUGUGUUUCAUGGGGAAAUAUACUUGAGUAGAAUUACUAGAUCAGGAUUUGGUUAUGUUUAACUUUGGUAGUUAUGUCAGAGAGUAUUACAUAGAUACUCUAUGUUGUUAGAUUUGUUCUCCUACCAGCACUGUAUUAGAGUUCCGGUAGUAGCACAUUCCCCUAAAAAUAUUUAUAUUAGUCUUUUUGUUUUAGCCAUCAUAGUGGAUGUUUAGUGAUAUCUAUAAGGUUUUUUUCUUGUGUCCAGUGUUAUCCCUGAAUCUGGUAAUCUUUGAAUUAUCUCCUCAUAUCUGGUGAUAUUUUAAUUUUUCCUUAUCCAGAGCAUUCCGUGAGUUCAUGGUAAGAGUUAAGCAAAUCAUUUCAACGUCACCACAUACCAAACCGUUGAUGGCUCGGUUUCAGCUUCCUUUCUAAAGGCAUUUUCUAAUCUGUUCUGCUAAGCUGCAAGAUGACAGCUGCAGAGACUUCACAGAAAAUGUUAAAAGUAGACCUUGCAUUUAGAGAUGGCUUGGAAGAGGGAGAAUCUGGUAAAACUCUGCAAAGAAAAUGCCUAGCACUUAUGUCUCCAGUAACUCCUGUCAAGGUUUAUUGUUGCCUGUUCAUCAUUGCAGUUCUGACUACAAGUGUGGUUGCACUUUGUAUUGUUUUGUCGGGUAAGUUACUUGUUCUCCAAACUGUACAAUGUUAUUUACAUGUUUAUGUUGUCAAUAAAUAUUUAUUAAGCUCCAUUAUUUGCCUGUCACUGUGUGAAAUGCUUGAAUUACAUCAACAAACAAAACACACACAAAAGAAUCCCUGCUCUUCAGGGACUUAUAUUCCAGCAGAAAAACGCAAGUGAUAAUCAAUAAGGGUGGAGGCGUAACAGAUUGCAAUAGGUUGACAAAGCUAAGCCUCCUUGGAAGAUGAUAUUUCAGCAGCGUUUUGAAAGAGAUGUAGGAACCAUGUGGCUACCUGGGGAACCUAUUCCAGACAGAACCUGUGGACCAAAAGCCUAAAGGAGGACUCUUCCUGGCUUGUUUGAGGAACAGCAAGGGGACUUCUGUAGGUGAAGCAGAGUGAGGAUGGAGAAGAGUGAUACCAUGGGGCAUUAGGAAUGGAGGAACCUUGAGGAUCAGUUAAAGACUUUGGCUUUUACCUUCAGUGCAAUAGGGAGCCUUGGAUGAGGGAAAUUGUAUGAGAGGAAUAUCGUGAUGUGACUUCCAUUGUAGAAUAAUCACUUGAUUGCUGUAUUGGGACUAGGUGGGGGAGGGUGGUCAGAUUCUGGAUAUUUGGAAAGCUGGGCCAACAGUAUUUUUUAUCAAAUUGGAUAAAAAGUCUUAGAAAGAGAAAAGUAAAAGAUAAGUCUCUCUUUUCUUUUGAGCCUUGGCAAGAAUACACUUGCCAUUCAGUGAUAUGAGAAAGCUAUGGGG